GUUUUCCUUAGUUUAGUGUUGCCUGUGUUGUGGCCGAAAGUAGUGUUGUAGAUUUUACUGCGCUGUGCCCGUAAUCAUUGAGUGACCGCCCUGUGCGUGUGUUGCCGCGUCAGGAAAGGAGUGUUGCGUGUCCAGGAGGGUCUUCCCCUUCCGAGUGGCGUCCGCGCCUGCUUCCUUCGUCAGGCACCUCCCUCCUCGCGCCUUCCUUCCUCCCGUCUCCUGGAGUGUACACACCUGCACUCUUGAGGCUGCUGGCGAGAGGAACUGUCGUUCCAAGCCCUCCACCAUGGCCGCCGCUCCGAAAGUUUGCGUCCGUCGCGCGAAGCUCAUCUUCCUGAUGGAGAACGCAGGCAAGGACGUCUUGACCUUCGUGUUGAAGCGCGGCGCGCUGAACGCCCCCGCCACGCCGCCGGGCCAGUCCCUCAUUGACUACCUUGACAACCUCCCUCAAGGCUCGACAGCCAACUAUGGCACGAUGAGUAACAAACAAAAGAAAGCAGCACUGAACCACAGUUCAGUGCUGCUUAUCCUCUGACGUGACUACUUUAUUCAUUAUUUUUUGUAU